rnacentral:rRNA from 1 species
AGAAUGACUCUCGGCAACGGAUAUCUAGGCUCUUGCAUCGAUGAAGAACGCAAUCGAGUCUUUGAACGCAAGUUGCCMCCGAAGCCAUCAGGUUGAGGGCACGUCUGCCUGGGCGUCACAU